rnacentral:rRNA from 1 species
CCUACGGGUGGCAGCAGUGAGGAAUAUUGGUCAAUGGGCGUAAGCCUGAACCAGCCAAGUCGCGUGAGGGAUGAAGGUUCUAUGGAUCGUAAACCUCUUUUAUAAGGGAAUAAAGUGCGGGACGUGUCCCGUUUGGUAUGUACCUUAUGAAUAAGGAUCGGCUAACUCCGUGCCAGCAGCCGCGGUAAUACGGAGGAUCCGAGCGUUAUCCGGAUUUAUUGGGUUUAAAGGGUGCGUAGGCGGCCUUUUAAGUCAGCGGUGAAAGUCUGUGGCUCAACCAUAGAAUUGCCGUUGAAACUGGGAGGCUUGAGUAUGUUUGAGGCAGGCGGAAUGCGUGGUGUAGCGGUGAAAUGCUUAGAUAUCACGCAGAACCCCGAUUGCGAAGGCAGCCUGCCAAGCCAUGACUGACGCUGAUGCUCGAAAGUGUGGGUAUCAAACAGGAUUAGAUGCCCCAGUAGUC